rnacentral:pre_miRNA from 1 species
CCAUGGAGUUCCAUGGAGUUCCAUGGAACCAGUCCAUGGACAUGAAACAUUACAUGGGAGUCCAUGGAAGUCCAUGGAAAAAUGAAAAGUUUCAUGGAACUCCAUGGAACUCCAUGA